UACAGAGGUCCCAAGCGUUGUUCAGAUUCAUUGGGCGUAAAGGGUGCGUAGGUGGCGCCGUAAGUCGGGUGUGAAAUUUCGGAGCUUAACUCCGAAACUGCAUUCGAUACUGCGGUGCUUGAGGACUGGAGCGGAGACUGGAAUUCAUGGUGUAGCAGUGAAAUGCGUAGAGAUCAUGAGGAAGACCAGUGGCGAAGGCGGGUCUCUGGACAGUUCCUGACACUGAGGCACGAAGGCCAGGGGAGCAAACGGG
rnacentral:rRNA from 1 species